GAUGAACGCUGGCGGCGUGCCUAAUACAUGCAAGUCGAGCGAACAGAUGAGGAGCUUGCUCCUCUGACGUUAGCGGCGGACGGGUGAGUAACACGUGGAUAACCUACCUAUAAGACUGGGAUAACUUCGGGAAACCGGAGCUAAUACCGGAUAAUAUAUUGAACCGCAUGGUUCAAUAGUGAAAGACGGUUUUGCUGUCACUUAUAGAUGGAUCCGCGCCGCAUUAGCUAGUUGGUAAGGUAACGGCUUACCAAGGCAACGAUGCGUAGCCGACCUGAGAGGGUGGCCGCACACUGGGGCAUAAGAACGCGACCGAACCUCCUCGGGGGGGGCGAAGGGGGAGAUCUUCCGAAAGGGGCGAAGGCCGGAGGGACAAGCCGGGGGAGAUAAAUAAAAGUUUUGAGUACUAAAACCUUUUUUAUGAGAAAAAAAAAAAUGUGUAAAUACAUAUGCACGUCUGAAGGUCCCCUAACAGGAAGCCCAGGACAAACACGGGC
rnacentral:rRNA from 1 species